CUGUGCUCCACUGGUGUUUGAGAAGAAAAAAGAAUGAUCGCAGCCCUCUUCCUGGCUCAGCUCACUGCCCCAUCUGUGCCGGUUCAGCCCUACUGCCCUGGUGCAUCUGCUGGGGGAGUACACAGCCCAGCCUCACUCUGUUGCUCACCAGCACCCCUACACUCACUGUCUUCUCAGUGGAAGACAAGAAUAGAUAACUUGAGUUAAAAUGCAACUUUCAAUAGAUGAUGGCAAAAGUUGUCCACCCACACUUGGUAUGCCCUUCUUUAAUUAUUGUUGAGC
rnacentral:lncRNA from 1 species